ensembl:lncRNA novel transcript, antisense to NUP214
GCCACUCCUAGCUAUGUAACCAAAUGAAAAGUACACAUGUGCUCCGAGAGACACACACGGGAAUAUUCAGAACCUUUUCUGUAAUAGCUAUAAACUGAAAGCAGCACAUGUCCAACAGGAAAAUGAAUAAACAAAUACAGCAUAUUCAUACAAUAGAAUCCUAUACAGAGCAACUAAAAUAACAGCUAGAGGCAACAACACGGAUGGAUCUUACAAGCCUGAUGUGGAACAAGAGAAGCCUGUCCAGAGACUAAGUGAAUGGAUUUAUGUGGUAUGCAAAAACAGGCAAAACCAAAUCAUAGUGUUUUGGGAGGUAUGCUUACAUAGUAAAGCUCUGAAGGAAAACAAAGAAAAGGCGACUAAAGAGAAUGACAACUUACACAAUGCAGAAUCCUGGAUUGGAUCCUAGAUCCAAUCAACGUGUAGGGAUGCUGAUCCCACUCCAAGUCUAGAACAUCAUUCACAUCUUGGACAGCAAAUUUCACAUACUGAUGAAGGCGCCGAAUUUCCUAUAAGAAAAAAAUUAAAAGUGUAUCAUGCGUAUAAUCCCAGCACUUUGGGAGGCUGAAGCAGAAGAAUCACAUGAGCCCAGGUGUUUGAGACCAGCCUGAGCAACACAUCAUUCUGCAAAAUCUACAAGUGGAUAGCGCACCACCACUACCUGGGCCCACUGUGUCCCUGCAAGAAAGACAACGUGAAAGAAGGUUCUUGUAUGCAAAGGCAUACCGGUAGUAGAGCCAUCACCACAUCUGGAGACGUUUCCAGGGUCCCAUCUGCAGCAGCAUACACUAUGGCGAAGACGUAGGUACCAAUCCACAGCACAUCCAGAACUGAAAGACACAUCUUAAUCAGUAGCUCAUAAAAAUGACAGCAACCAGAUACAAGAAAAAG